rnacentral:rRNA from 1 species
CGUAGGAGACGAGCGUUAUCCGGAUUUACUGGGCGUAAAGCGUGUGCAGGCGGUUCGGCAAGUUGGAUGUGAAAUCUCCCGGCUCAACUGGGAGGGGUCGUUCAAUACUACCGAGCUUGAGGUCAUCAGAGGAAGGUGGAAUUCCGGGUGUAGUGGUGAAAUGCGUAGAUAUCCGGAGGAACACCAGUGGCGAAGGCGGCCUUCUGGGAUGAUCCUGACGCUCAGACACGAAAGCUAGGGGAGCGAACGGGAUUAGAGACCCCGGUAGUCCUAGCUGUAAACGAUGUAGACUUGGCGUCGGAGGGUUCAAAACCUUCGGUGUCGUAGCUAACGCGAUAAGUCUACCGCCUGGGGACUACGGCCGCAAGGUU